GACGAACGCUGGCGGCGUGCUUAACACAUGCAAGUCGAACGGAAAGGCCCUGCUUUUGUGGGGUGCUCGAGUGGCGAACGGGUGAGUAACACGUGAGUAACCUGCCCUUGACUUUGGGAUAACUUCAGGAAACUGGGGCUAAUACCGGAUAGGAGCUCCUGCUGCAUGGUGGGGGUGGGAAAGUUUCGGCGGGUGGGGAUGGACUCGCGGCUGAUCAGCGUGUUGGUGGGGGAUUGGCUUACCAAGGCUUUGACGGGUAGCCGUCCUGAGAGGGGGACCGGCCACAUUGGGACUGAGAUACGGCCCAGACUCCUACGGGAGGCAGCAGUGGGGAAUAUUGCACAAUGGGCGGAAGCCUGAUGAAGCAACGCCGCGUGCGGGAUGAAGGCCUUCGGGUUGUAAACCGCUUUCGCCUGUGACGAAGCGUGAGUGACGGUAAUGGGUAAAGAAGCACCGGCUAACUACGUG
rnacentral:rRNA from 1 species